AUCACCUGAAGUCACCAAUCACCGUGCUCCCCCUUUCCUUCUUCUCUCCUCCGCAGUUAUCUUGAGCAUACGCUUCCUUAUCUUCCCAUCUUCUAAAACCUCAAUUUAUUUCUAUUUGGGUGCUUUUCCAUCUCUGACUUAUACUUGCAUGGAUAGGCACAGGGGUGAUCGCUACGGAGGCACCGCCAACAAUCCCACCGCCUCCUAUAACCAAGACUCUUCCCAUAAUCGUCAACCCUCUCGCUUCUCAUAUACUCCCGCCGAUGGCGCCGAUGGUACCAAUACUUCCAGCACUUAUGACCACCGGAGCCCUAACAACUAUCAUGGUGGUGGUGGCAGUAACCACCCUUUGGACAGUCAUCCCCAUCAUCCUUCUUCUGCUGGCGGAUUUGGAGGAGUAGGAGGAUUUGGACCACGGGGUGGUGGUGCUGCCCGUAGUGGAAGAUUUUGGCAAAUGAGAGGAGAUGGAGAGUUUGGGUCUAAUUACCAGGCGCCACUGAAUCCGCCUCAGCUUCUGUCGGGACAGAAACGAGGGUAUCCUUUUGCUGGCCGCGGAAGUUCUCCCGAUCGUUUUGAUGGUGGUAGCUUUGCCAAGCUCUUUGUGGGAUCUGUUCCAAGGACUGCUACUGAAGAAGAUAUUCGCCCCUUAUUUGAACAAUAUGGAAAUGUGAUAGAGGUUGCCUUGAUCAAAGAUAAGAGAACAGGACAGCAACAAGGUUGUUGUUUUGUUAAAUAUGCAACUUCUGAAGAAGCUGAUAGGGCCAUUAGAGCUUUGCACAAUCAACAUACUCUGCCUGGAGGAGUAGGUCCUAUUCAAGUAAGAUAUGCUGAUGGGGAGCGAGAACGCAUUGGUGCAGUUGAGUUCAAAUUGUUUGUUGGGUCACUGAACAGACAGGCUUCAGAAAAGGAAGUUGAGGAAAUUUUUUCACCAUAUGGCCAUGUUGAAGAUGUCUAUCUCAUGCGUGAUGAAUUGAAGCAAAGCCGCGGAUGUGGAUUUGUUAAAUACUCUGAUAGAGAAAUGGCGCUGAGAGCUAUAAAUGCUCUUAAUGGUAUCUACAGAAUGAGAGGUUGUGAUCAACCAUUGACUGUUCGGUUUGCUGAUCCUAAAAGGCCCAGGCCUGGAGAUUCAAGAGGUGGUCCUGUGUUUGGAGGUCCAGGCUGUGGCCCUCGAUUUCAAGCUCCAUGGAUCAGACCUGCGCCCAAUUUUGGUGACCGAAUGGGUGAUCGAGGUCCACCUAAUGGUUGGCAUCCAAUGAGUCCUCAAAAUGUGGGGCCUUCCUCCAAUGCAGGUGUCCGUGGUUUGGGGAUUCAGCUGCUUCCUAGUUCUAGUAACCUAGCAACGCAUUUAAAUCAGGGUGGUCCUUCUGACAGUGCUCCCCCAGGACAUGUUGUUUCUUCUACUACACAACAGAAUGAUGAUGUUUUUUCUCCCCUGAAUUUUAAGCAGCAUUUACAGCAAGUUCCACCAGUCAGCCAGCAAAUCUCUACACUACAGAAACCCCUCCAAUCUUCCCAGCAUUUGCCUCCUCUUCAAUUACAUCCUCAAGUUACAUCUUAUUCACAGACAGAGACUUCCCAUGUUGGUCAAUUACAUGCUCCACUUAUUGCUGGUCAAACUCCAUUCACUCAAGCACCUCCAUCACAGCAGUAUCUUGGUAUGAGUGGACAGUUGUCUGCUUCUCAAUCUCAGCUCCAGCAGGGUGCCUCAACUGGUACACCAUUAUCAGCGCCUUUGAAUAUCAACCUACAAUCUCAUUCUGUGUCUGCUGUGACAAAUCAACAACAGAUGCCUGCUCCUGUCCAGCAGCAACUGCUCCAGCCUCCUCAGCAGUCCCCCUCUCAAUUAGCUCAGAUGCUGUCGCAACAGACACAAACUUUGCAAGCAACCUUUCAGUCAUCUCAGCAGGUGUUCUCACAGCUUCAACAACAAUUGCAGAUGAUGCAACCAUCAAAUCAAGGUCUAACAUUGCAGCAGAGUUCUCAGCCUACUAAACAGCAGUGGCCUGGGAUUCCACCAAAAGCAGUUGCUAGUGCACCGGCUGCAGAUGUGCCUCCAUCUACUUCUGCUUCUGGUGCACCUGUAGUAACUCAGCCAGUGGCUCCUGUAAAAUGUAAUUGGACAGAGCAUACCUCUCUUGAGGGUUUCAAGUACUAUUACAACAGUGUAACUCGAGAAAGCCAGUGGGAGAAACCGGAGGAGUUGACAUUAUUUGAACAAGCACCACAGCAGCAGCAAUUGCAACAAAAAUCUCCAAUUCAACAGCCUCAAGUUCUGCCCGCUCAGCAAGUGCCACAAGCACAACAAUUACAACUACAAGCUCAGUUCCAAACACAGUUUCGCCACCAACAGCAGUUGCAACAGCCUUCCUUUCCUUCAUUGUUUGCUGCUUCGGGAGUUAGAGUUCAACAAGAUGCUCAGGAACUUGGUUAUACACAAUUACCUGCUGCAGCUAAUUCAGUUAAUGACCCAGCAAGCAUUCAGGAAUCUUCUUUGCUCUUUUCUUUUCAUUUUUUUCCCUCCCUUUUUUGUGCAUGUUCCUAUUUCUUUUCUGUAAUUCUACGUUUGUACUUUUAUCUCUGAAGUCAUUUCUGCCACAGGGGGUUCAGGCUGCUCCGGAGUGGAUGUGGAAGAAUAAGGCAGCAGGAACUUGAAGCAGAAGAGAGGGUUCCAGGGCAGCAGAGGCAUAAUGUUGCUGCUAUUCAAAUGCCUGGUGAGAAAAUGGUGGCAUGCUCAGUGACAAGGCAAGGGAAGGCAACAGCGGCACUUACUGCAAACCAAAAUGCUAGAAAUGAGAACUAGAAUGGUUUCUGCAGCCUGUAGCUUCCCGCAUUGCUCUGGGAUUUACUGUCUCAGUUACUGAGCAAAUUGAGCAUGUCUCAUCAGUACAUGGGGCAUGUAAUGGCGACACACUCUGUUGAAGUCCAAAUCCAAAUGUUAUGUAACAUUUCCAGUAGUUGUUGUAAUAUGCAUGUUAGUCCCAUUUAGCACCUUGAUUGGAAACUGCUGGAUGGCAAAUUGAUACCCAUGAAAAAUACUGUUAAUAAUAAUAAUAACUCUUAUUUGAUCAAA